rnacentral:rRNA from 1 species
GACGAACGCUGGCGGCGUGCCUAAUACAUGCAAGUAGAACGCACAGUUUAUACCGUAGCUUGCUACACCAUAAACUGUGAGUUGCGAACGGGUGAGUAACGCGUAGGUAACCUGCCUGGUAGCGGGGGAUAACUAUUGGAAACGAUAGCUAAUACCGCAUAAUAUUGAUUAUUGCAUGAUAAUUGAUUGAAAGAUGCUAUUGCAUCACUACCAGAUGGACCUGCGUUGUAUUAGCUAGUAGGUGAGGUAACGGCUCACCUAGGCGACGAUACAUAGCCGACCUGGGAGGGUGAUCGGCCACACUGGGACUGAGACACGGCCCAGACUCCUACGGGAGGCAGCAGGAGGGAAGCUUCGGCAAUGGACGAAAGUCUGACCGAGCAACGCCGCGUGAGUGAAGAAGGGUGUCGGAUCGUAAAGCUCUGUUGUAAGAGAAGAACGGGUGUGAGAGUGGAAAGUUCACACUGUGACGGUAUCUUACCAGAAAGGGACGGCUAACUACGUG